AUAUGUAUAUAUUUACAUGUCUAAUUCUCACCAACUAGUACUUUUUAAACGGAUAACAUCGUCAGUAGCUAAUUUUCCAUAGCCCUUGUAGACGUGAGGAUGAUCGCAUACGCUGUUGGUUGAACCUAACUUGUUUUUGUUGGGUGUGUAUAGAGAAAUACCAAGCAAGUCACUGACACAUUCACCCACUGACUGUUGAAUCUACAGAGAGGCUCAUCUGCAGCUCGAAAACACCUGCCAGUUUUGGAAAGGACACUGAGAUAUUGAUGGUUAGAUGGAGGAACAUAGCUGUAGGAAAGAACUUGUCCUCAUCUCCAGUUGUACUGAUACAGAAGUAAACAUUGCUCGAGAGCGGUACUUGUUUUUCAGACGCGAAUGAGAGGGUCCCAAAACCGUUUAUUACCCUAGAUGACGCGCGUCUCUCUGCUUGAUUGCUUGUGCGUGAAAUAUUUGCAUACCUGACAACUCUCCUGAUUUGCCGUGAGGCUGCCGACUUCCAAGACCUAUUUCCUCUUCUCCCGAACACGAUACAGUUUCCCGAUCCCUAAAUUAAGGCCUUUAUUUCCCCCAAGUUUCUGGACUCAAAUAAUCAUAAUGUAUAAUUCUUUUAAAAGGAAACUGAACAGCUAUUUUCUUAACAAAAUUGAAUAAGCCAUUAUUGGCAUUUUGUACAAUGUACAUUUUUGUUUAAUGUUACAGGUAUAUCUUAAUUCUGUAUUAUAUCUGUAAUUCUGACCAAGUUUGGGAGAAUGAUUUUGUUAAUAAUAAUGUGUUUUUAUGCUAAUAUUUUAUGUAUCUAAUGAUUUUUAUGUAAAAUACUUUUAAUGGAUAUAUAGAUAUAAAUCUAUGUGUAUGUUACUUUAAUCAGCAGACGUUAAAUUUAAAAAAAAAAAACAUUUUAUGUAUAUUUUAAUCCAA